GUUGCUGGAGAUUUGCAGUACGUACGGCUGAAUGUAAUGCAUGGCGGUGCGCCAGGUGCGCGUAAAAUACCUGAACGUGUCUGUCGACCCAGGUGUAACGUUACUUUAGCAGUUUUAUUUCGAGUAAUUCAACUGCCCUCACAAACUAAACACGUAUUGAAUCAGACAAUUAAAUUUUCAAAUGGAUUUUUUAAAUUGUCUUUCCAACUGCAAUCUCUAAAAACACAAAGCAUUGGCCAGAACACACAGGACGUUAAAAUAACAAUAUAAUAAAAUCGAUAUGUCUGUAGGUUAUUUGGAGGAAAGCGAGCUCCCAGUUUCAGCUCCAGCUAGUCCGAACAAGCCUCGACAUAUCGAACGGACACCUGGAUACCACACAAGAUAGACGCAGGAAGUUCAAGUGACUGUAUGUCCUACCAGUCUAAAGAAAGGUUGUCAACAAACUAAUUUGAGAAAUAUCAAUUGAGUGGUCUGAGUCACAUGCACCAAUGAGACUGACCGAACAUCAAAACGAGAGUCACCCAGGCAACUCCAGACUAACUCUGACUGGAAGUGAACUAAAGUCUCCAGGCUUCAGGUAUGAGACAGGAAGUGGCUUAUUGCGGACAGAAGCAGAUCAGUGAGAGUGGACAGCUUGUAUUGGUCGUGUAGAAGGGCUGGACAGCCUCAGGAUUCUUGUGCUGCAAAUCCUACCCAUUGAGUCCCUGCUCCUGUGGCUCUCCUUUACCCCUCCAUCCACACACACGGGGCCUUUGCUGCAGGUACACCUCCCAUUGCCAAUGACCUUCAUCUGCCGACUGUGACCAGGAAGUCAUCCCUGGGGACCCUGACUGGCACACUGUUGAAUGCUAAUACCCAGCUCAGGCUGUUCUGGCUUCAGAGGUCGUCUACCACAGCUUCCCUUCACUUCCUCUGAGCCCCCAUCAAACGUUAAAUCCUCCUAAAUGCACCUCAACGGCUUUGGUACCUAGCGUUCCCUGCACGACUGCGCGGGUCACUCCAGCUGAGGCCUUGCUCUUUAGAGCCAGCCAGUGAAUGAGUACACAGGAAGAAAAGAUCAGUCCAAAAGAUAAGACCUGGCGUCGGCUGUGAGUUGUUUGUGACGCUAAUGGUAAGCGUUUGAGGACAAUUAGCGACAGACGAGGCAAACAAAGAGAAGAGGUCAUCGGGGAGAGGAGAUUAAGCCAAAGAUUUGGUUUGGAGGCAUGUGUGGUGGGGUUUGAAAAUUGUUCAACAUUAAGCAGUUUGAUCCGCCAUUAAAGGUCAUAAAACAGAUUGACUACUUAUCAGAGAGACUCAGAGAGCUCACCGGGGCCCAGUGUAGUAGGACUAUUCCUGCUGAAAGCAGUAGAGUCGUCACUAGAGUCCAACAGGAGGGGAUUAUAGUUAGUUAUUUGCAGUCAGAAACUCCUCACAACACCUGUCAUCACCACGACCCAAACACCCUUGUGAGUCAACUCAAGUAGCACCCCUGGAGUGCUGAACAACAAGUCUUGUUUGGUAGCAGAGAUGAAAGUCCUCCAAAUGAUAAUGAAAUCGGCUCAUCACGAUAAUGAGCAGCUUUGGUAAUGAAGGUGAUUUGCCUAGCCUCUUCAAAUGCCCGAUAUCUGUCACCUAAUUACAGGUAAACAUUAUGUAAAAUGUGGCGUUUGGUGCCUGGGGCAGAUCAGGGAAACAGCAGCUGUAUCUGUUUGUCUACAACACUACAGUCCAUGUCUUGUUUUUUCACACUGUAUUCAAAUUGGAUACCUGCUGGUUUAGGGAUUGUCAAUUACCUCAUCAAAUAUUCUGUAGUUCGAGACACUGCCCACCUGGCAAAAACUGAUUGAAUCAAUGUUGUUUCCACAUCAUUUCAAGCCCAAAACGUAUGUGAUGACGUUGAAUCGACGUGGAAAACUGAUUGGAUUUGCAAAAAGUCAUCAAAGUAAGGGCAUUUUGCCUUUUUUAACGCAACUUUUAACCUAACUCUAAUGACAUGUUGACAUUUGUUGUUGAUUUCACAUUGAAUUCACGGUUCGUUGACAACUCAACCAACUGUUAAUCAAAACUAGACGUUGAACUGACGUCUGUGCCCAGUGGUUGUGAUCUGUUAAGUCUUGAACGUGGGGCAUAGUAGAUUGUGGAUGAGCUUUUUCAGGAUAAAUCGAAUGAUGUUGUUGUCUUUUUUGGUUGUCAUUACAUCGAUUUAUCCAUAUUUUAUGGUACACUAUCUUACCAGUAUGUAUUUAAAUUGGAUAGUCGACAAAGACAUGUACUUGAGUGUAUUCAUUUGUUAAACAGAGCACACUCUGCCUUCGUGUGCCUUUGAAUCCUUUCAAUCUUCCUCAUUGGCAUUGUCAGACAAUAGAUGGCUCAAUAGCACCAUGUCAACGGGUGAACUUGAACUGCACUGGUGGAAAUGGAGCUUUAAAGAUCGACGCGCUCGGUCAACCGGUAACGCAAGACCCACUUGUUCAGUCCUCAAUUUACUUUCCUAAGACUAGAAGAUUUACAGGGCUACAUUCAUGUGAUUUGUUUGUAUUCUUCUCACUUGAGCAAAGCCCUAAGCAAAUAUGUGUUGGGUGAUUUUACUGUCCUGGAAAAGGUCAUUUUGGAGAGGAUACCAUCGGCGUACAGGAGAGGGCACUGUUGAAUUUCCCAACAUUUUUGAAAUAAUUAAAUCAUAGAGGAUUAAAUACCUCCCCUACACAUGUUAUGUACACACACACAAACACACACACACACACACACACACACACACACACACACACACACACACACACACACACACACACACACACACACACACACACACACACACACACACACACACACACACACACACACACACACACGCACACACACACGCACACGCACACACAACC